rnacentral:rRNA from 1 species
AGCGAACGCUGGCGGCAGGCCUAACACAUGCAAGUCGAACGAAGUCUUUGGACUUAGUGGCGGACGGGUGAGUAACACGUGGGAACGUACCUUUUGGUUCGGAACAACUCAGGGAAACUUGAGCUAAUACCGGAUGAGCCCUUAGGGGGAAAGAUUUAUCGCCGAAAGAGCGGCCCGCGUUAGAUUAGCUAGUUGGUGAGGUAAAGGCUCACCAAGGCUACGAUCUAUAGCUGGUCUGAGAGGAUGAUCAGCCACACUGGGACUGAGACACGGCCCAGACUCCUACGGGAGGCAGCAGUGGGGAAUCUUGCGCAAUGGGCGAAAGCCUGACGCAGCCAUGCCGCGUGAAUGAUGAAGGUCUUAGGAUUGUAAAAUUCUUUUACCAGGGACGAUAAUGACGGUACCUGGAGAAAAAGCCACGGCUAACUUCGUGCCAGCCGCCGCAGUAACAC